CCUACGGGAGGCAGCAGUGGGGAAUUUUGGACAAUGGGCGCAAGCCUGAUCCAGCAAUGCCGCGUGAGUGAAGAAGGCCUUCGGGUUGUAAAGCUCUUUUGUCAGGGAAGAAACGGUACGCUCUAAUACAGUGUGCUAAUGACGGUACCUGAAGAAUAAGCACCGGCUAACUACGUGCCAGCAGCCGCGGUAAUACGUAGGGUGCAAGCGUUAAUCGGAAUUACUGGGCGUAAAGCGUGCGCAGGCGGUUUGGUAAGAAAGAUGUGAAAUCCCCGGGCUCAACCUGGGAAUUGCAUUUUUGACUGCCCGGCUAGAGUGUGUCAGAGGGGGGUAGAAUUCCACGUGUAGCAGUGAAAUGCGUAGAUAUGUGGAGGAAUACCGAUGGCGAAGGCAGCCCCCUGGGAUAACACUGACGCUCAUGCACGAAAGCGUGGGGAGCAAACAGGAUUAGAUACCCUGGUAGUCCACGCCCUAAACGAUGUCUACUAGUUGUCGGGUCUUAAUUGACUUGGUAACGCAGCUAACGCGUGAAGUAGACCGCCUGGGGAGUACGGUCGCAAGAUUAAAAACCUCAAAAGUAGUAAGUUCGGACCGGUCGUAGGACGUACGUCGACCCGGAACGGACCACCGACGGGAGGGGUUAGGUUAGGG
rnacentral:rRNA from 1 species